AUGAUUCUAGAACAAAUCUAUUUUAUAACAUCGUUUGAUUUACUUCAGAAAUGUUUUAGAGGAAUUAACAUAUCAUGAGAGGGGCCAUGGAACUCAGAAUGACUCCUUUCAUGUGCACUCUGUAUUUUCUACUGCAGAGGGCCCUGAGGCUCCAGCUCCUGAAAGGGAUUUUACCCAUUCAAGGAAAUUUGGAGUAAUUCAUAAGUAAUUAACUUAUAAGCUUGUCUACUUACAAGCAACUCAGUGCAGUUCAUACAUGGCUGAUUUUUAUGUACACGUAAAAACUGAUCAUGGAUACAAUUGUGGAACAAUUAACUUCGAAUCUGUUAUUCCACCUUAACCCUGUUUUAAUGGAUUUGAUCUGUUGGUUCUUUCGUCUCCUAUUAUUCACCACAUUCUGUAUCUGCAGUGUUAUUUUGGAAGCAGACUUCGUGUACUAUAGUCAGCAUGUGUCACACAUUUUAAUGACUCACCUGCAUAUGUUUCUCUGUAGUAAUGAGUUGACGUCAUAGUAGCCUUCAAAGUCUUUGACACUUGCUUCAGAUUGCUUUGUCCUAAGUAAGCCAGGAGAUGCAUUUCAGCUGUGUGUUUGCAUAUGCUAUUGGAUCCCCCUGGAUUGCUUUCUUUAGCUUGGUCUGUGUUUGGGGGGCUCUGCUGAGUAGCAGACACUGCUACUGCUUUUGGCCUCUCCAGGGCCUCAACUCCUACAUUAUCUAGAACUUUAGAAGUUUAAAAAGAAAUGUUUCAUUUUUAAUGUAGUUAUUUGUUCCAGGAAUUGGUUUUCAUGUGGCAUUCUUUUCCAAGGAAAAUAUUUAGCAACUUACCCACUGAGCUUGUUCCUUGGUUGAUAAAGUAACAACCUGAUUUCUUUCACAUUCUCAGUGUAAGUGGCAACCUUAUUUUGGUUAAAGUCAUUAUGACCUGAAAACAGAGAAGCAUGAAUAGAAAUUGAGGGUAUUAUAAUGGAUUUAUAGUCUAAGUUAUGAUAAGAAAGAUGUCCCAGAAUGGGAAUAAAAUAAUAUUUUUUAAAGACCUUCCAUUACUGUAGUUCAAAAUUUUUGAGCUUUGGAACAUCAGGAUGGCACACCAGGUAAAGGUGCUACUGCCAAACCUAAAAAUCUGAGUUCAAUCCCUGGGACCCACAUGGUGGAAGGAGAGAAUGGCGCAUAAAGGCUGAUCUCUGAUCUCCAUACCUGCACUUUCAUGUGAACACACGCACACGUACAUUUUAAAUAUUUUCAAAACCUUAUAAAACUGUAAGGCUUGAUUUUAGCAUGGAGAAUCAAAGGUUCCACCUUCCUUGAUACAUAGCUUCAACAUUUAUAUUCAAAGAUCAGAUUAUUUAUUAUACCCUAUCCUAAUCACAGCAUGCAGAUAUUUACAGGAGAGAGAAAAUUCUGCAGAUUGAUUAGGGGAAAUUCUCUGGUGCUUCUUUUAAAUACAUGAUGAAUAAGAAAAAGGAGAGUCAUUUGAAUCAUAGUAAAUCAUUUACC
rnacentral:lncRNA from 1 species